rnacentral:rRNA from 1 species
UCCUACGGGACGCAGCAGUGGGGAAUAUUGCACAAUGGGGGGAACCCUGAUGCAGCAAUGCCGCGUGGGUGAAGAAGCACUCCGGUGCGUAAAGCCCUGUCAGCAGGGAAGAAAAUGACAGUACCUGGACAAGAAGCCCCGGCUAACUACGUGCCAGCAGCCGCGGUAAUACAUAGGGGGCAAGCGUUAUCCGGAUUUACUGGGUGUAAAGGGAGCGCAGGCGGCGUGGCAAGUCAGCUGUGAAAAC